AACGAACGCUGGCGGCAUGCCGAACACAUGCAAGUCGAACGAGACCUCCGGGUGGAGUGGCGCAGGGGUACUUAACGUAUGAGAACCUGCCCGUAGUGUCGGAAGAACUCAGCGAGAGGGGGGCUAAUGCGGGAAAAGGUAAGCGGGCCAAAGAUUUAUCGCGUUUGGAUGGGCACGAGUUGGAUUAGGUAGUUGGUAGGGUAAAAGCCUACCACGGCGACGAUCCAUAGGUGGUCUGAGAGGAUGAUCAGCCACACUGGGACUGAGACACGGCCCACCCUCGUCCGGGAGGCAGAAGUGGGGAAUAUUGGGCAAUGGGCGAAAGCCUGCUCAAGCAAUGCCGCGUGAGUGAUGAAGGCCAUAGGGUUGUAAAGAUAUUUUAGAAGCGAUGAUAAUGACAGUCCCGGGCGAAUAAGCCCCGGAUAACUCCGUG
rnacentral:rRNA from 1 species